GACGAACGCUGGCGGCGUGCCUAAUACAUGCAAGUAGAACGCACAGUUUAUACCGUAGCUUGCUACACCAUAGACUGUGAGUUGCGAACGGGUGAGUAACGCGUAGGUAACCUGCCUGGUAGCGGGGGAUAACUAUUGGAAACGAUAGCUAAUACCGCAUAAUAUUAAUUAUUGCAUGAUAAUUAAUUGAAAGGUGCAAUUGCACCACUACCAGAUGGACCUGCGUUGUAUUAGCUAGUAGGUGAGGUAACGGCUCACCUAGGCGACGAUACAUAGCCGACCUGAGAGGGUGAUCGGCCACACUGGGACUGAGACACGGCCCAGACUCCUACGGGAGGCAGCAGUAGGGAAUCUUCGGCAAUGGACGAAAGUCUGACCGAGCAACGCCGCGUGAGUGAAGAAGGUUUUCGGAUCGUAAAGCUCUGUUGUAAGAGAAGAACGGGUGUGGGAGUGGAAAGUUCACACUGUGACGGUAUCUGACCAGAAAGGGACGGCUAACUACGUG
rnacentral:rRNA from 1 species